AUGUACAUGCCUACAACAUUAAUGCACCAGAUCCCAUUAGAACUUUGUAGUUAAGAACACUUGGGCUAGAGUAGUAUUGGGAUGGGUGACCUCUCGGUAAGUCCUAGUGUUUUACAUG
rnacentral:rRNA from 1 species